AAUGACUUAGGGCUGAUUUUUCAAGAGCCAGAUAAAACGUCAAGUAGCUAACUGAUCAAUAACUUUAUCUGAUUCUUUAACGAACCAAUAAAGAGUUUCAAUUUUUCAAAGCAUAGUUACCAGUCAGUUUACUACCUGACCUUUUUUUGUGACUAGCUUCACACUACAUCUGUGUGAGCGAGACGCGCUUAUGAACAUUUACAGAUCUAAGAAAGAGACAAACAAUUUUCAACUUAAUGACAGCGGUUGUCACAUUUUAGAGGGAAUCAUAACAUAACCUUAAACUUUGACGACUCGUCUUCGUGUUAAUAUUUAUUUUCCGUUCGAAUUUAUUGUUUGCUUUUUGUGUGUUGUGUGUAAUCAUGGAAAAUAUCGUAAAACGUGAACGUUCCACGAAUUUUAACAAAAGCGAAAUAAGAUUAUUGACUGAAUUGGUGGCAAAACACCGUACUAUAAUUGAAAAUAAGCAGACAGACGCCGUAACCAAUAAAGAAAAGGAAGCAGCGUGGAUAAAAAUCAGUUCAUUAUUUAAUGCGGCUACGGGAUUUACAGCGAGGAGUACCAAGAGCCUGAAGCUUAAAUAUGAAGGCAUAAAAAAGGAAACCAAAAAAACAUUGGCCAAACAUCGGCAAGAGCUGUACAAAACUGGUGGCGGGCCUCUUCAGCCCCAGAGGUUACAGAUAUACAGGAGAGGGUUAUCGCGAUAUGUUCGAAUAUCAAUGGGCUGGAUGCUCGAAAUGACAGCGACAAAAUUCCAGAACCUUUAGAACUGGAAGAGACUGCUAAAGUUGACCCGCUAUCGUUGCCACUGCAAUCAUUAGAAAAUAAUUUAGUAAUUGUACCAUGUGAUGACGAUAUUCCGUGUACUUUAGGUAAAAUAUCUAAUUCAAUAAUAAUAAAUAACUUUAGAAAAUAACUAAACAUGUGCUGUAAUUAAUCUCUGGCUGCAGAAUGGAAAAGAAUAAAUGUUUGAUUUUUACUCAUAUCCUUGAUAGAUUUAUGAUCACAUGAUGGCCACUGAUUUUUUUACAGAAUGUUCAACCUAUAUAUAUUUAUUUAAUGUAAAAUGAAAAACAAGGACCUGAAUAUAUUUUUUUGUUUUAGAUCAAGAAGAGUUUUGCCCGCAACAGGAUUUAAAGGAGAAAGUUAACAGUGAAAUUGGAAAUG